rnacentral:rRNA from 1 species
CCUACGGGGAGCUGCAGUGGGGAAUAUUGGACAAUGGGCGAAAGCCUGAUCCAGCCAUGCCGCGUGUGUGAAGAAGGCCUUCGGGUUGUAAAGCACUUUCAGUGGGGAAGAAAGCCUUGGGGCUAAUACCCUCGAGGAAGGACAUCACCCACACAAGAAGCACCGGCUAACUCCGUGCCAGCAGCCGCGGUAAUACGGAGGGUGCGAGCGUUAAUCGGAAUUACUGGGCGUAAAGCGCGCGUAGGCGGUCUGAUAAGCCGGUUGUGAAAGCCCCGGGCUCAACCUGGGAACGGCAUCCGGAACUGUCAGGCUAGAGUGCAGGAGAGGAAGGUAGAAUUCCCGGUGUAGCGGUGAAAUGCGUAGAGAUCGGGAGGAAUACCAGUGGCGAAGGCGGCCUUCUGGACUGACACUGACGCUGAGGUGCGAAAGCGUGGGUAGCAAACAGGAUUAGAUACCCCGGUAGUC